GAUGAAGAACGCAGCGAAAUGCGAUACUUGGUGUGAAUUGCAGAAUCCCGUGAACCAUCGAGUCUUUGAACGCAAGUUGCGCCCGAAGCCGUCAGGCCGAGGGCACGCCUGCCUGGGCGUCACACGCCGUUGCCCCCCCGCGCCCCGCACCCAACUCUUUGGGAGCGACCGCGGGGCGGGCUGAUGAUGGCCUCCCGUGCGCUCCGCCGCGCGGUUGGCCCAAAUACCGAGUCCCCGGCGACGUGCGCCACGACGAUCGGUGGUUGAGAGACCUCUGUCGCAAGUCGUGCGCGCCCGUCGCGUCACGCGGGCUCGCAUAGCGCCUCGCGCCGCACCCGGUGCGGAGCUUUCAACGCGACCCCAGGUCAGGCGGGGUUACCCGCUGAAUUUAAGCAUAUCAUAAGCGGAGGA
rnacentral:misc_RNA from 1 species